UACAGAGGUCCCGAGCGUUGUUUGGAUUCACUGGGCGUAAAGGGUGCGUAGGCGGUGAGGUAAGUCGGAUGUGAAAGCUCGGAGCUCAACUCCGAAAUGGCAUUGGAAACUACCUUGCUCGAGGGUCGGAGGGGGGACUGGAAUACUUGGUGUAGCAGUGAAAUGCGUAGAUAUCAAGUGGAACACCAGUGGCGAAGGCGAGUCCCUGGACGACUCCUGACACUGAGGCACGAAAGCUAGGGGAGCAAACAGG
rnacentral:rRNA from 1 species